rnacentral:snRNA from 1 species
GUGCUUGCUUCAGCAGCAUUUAUACCAAAAUUGGAACAAUACAGAGAAGAUUAGCAUGGCACCUGCACAAGGAUGACACACAAAUUUGUGAAACAUUCUGCAUUUUU